rfam:Triticum aestivum genome assembly, contig: Triticum_aestivum_CS42_TGACv1_scaffold_364810_4DS
CAACUACUCCCUCUGUCCCAAAUUUCUUGUCUUAGAUUUGUCUAGAUAUGGAUGUAUCUAAUACUAAAAUGUGACUUGAUACAUCCGUAUCUAGACAAAUCUAAGACAAGAAUUUUGGGAUGGAGGGAGUACUUU